AAGUCGUAACAAGGUAACCGUAGGUGAACCUGCGGUUGGAUCAUUGAGAAGCGGAAGCGUUAGCGGAGAGCGUGGAGUCUCUGGGGGGCAACCCCGAUAAGAUAAGGGAAAAUAUGGUGAUAUAAAUAAUAAAUAUAAUACAACUUUUGGCAACGGAUCUCUAGGCUCUC
rnacentral:misc_RNA from 1 species